CGCAGGGAGUCGGGGAGAGCUCCGCGCCCGGGCGCGGCGAGGCGGGGUCUGAUGGGCAUGGCAGGCGCUCGCUCGCUCCUCUCCUGCUCCCUAGCUCGCUCCCUCACACGCGGGCGGAGGGAGGCGAAGCCCGCAGCAGCCACUUCCCAACUUUCCAAACUUCCCAGCGCAACUUUUUCCUCUCCUCCCCUGCCCACGCCUCCUCCUCCCGCUUCCCCUUCCCCUUCCCCUCUCCAGCUCCCCGCGGGCCGCAGCUUCAGCGCGCGGCCGCCAGAGGGCGACCGGGCCGAGGCCCGAAGGGCCAACUUUAAUCCGGCUGCGCGUUGGAUGCGGACUGGCCCGGCAGCGACAAAUGUGGGGAGAAGGACCAGACAGGUCCUGGAGGAGUGAACAGCGAGAGAGGAGAAAGGCAGGCGUGGACAAGCGCUCCCAGACUGGCUGGAAGGCAGCACUCAAAAGAAACCCAGGGAAGCUGGAUCCUGGUGAGGGGUCCUGGAAGGGCAAGGAUUCAUAUCCCAGUUCCUUAGACCAUAAGAAUUGAAAGAGCCCUUAAAACCAGCUUCCUUCUGUUCUGGAGAGGCAAGUGAAACUUACAGAAGACCAAGAGGCAAGAUCCAAGCUUCUGGACCGUUUCCCGCCAAUGGGGAAACUGAGUCAUGGGCACCACCGCUUACUUGUGUUGCGAAGAGUUCACUGACUCUUCCUAUGCUGAUGUUAGAGACUGAAGGAUGAACGAGGUCAGAAAUAAUGAGUGUGCGCAGUUUCAUCUGGUUCCACCUGCUGGGUGUCCGCGCCACCUCGACUCUUUGCUGUGCACACUUCUGGUGACAGAUGCAGAUCAGGCCAGUGGGCCCAGAUGGUGCAAGAGGACAGUGCGGCUCCGUGCUUCCGACACACAGCGCUCUGAGAACUGCAGCUGUGACCAAAGAGAAGUCCUUUAAAGAGCCUCCACUCCUCAAGGCUCCAAAACUCCCUACAGAGCCACCACUCCCCAUGAUGAGGACGAGGUGAGAAGCUUGAGAGGUGGGAGGAGAAUUUAACUCCACUGAGAGGGAGUGUAAUGGUCUUCACGGGGAACUAGAACAUAAGGGAGACAGUGGGUAAGAAAGGACCUGAUCAAAUUCAAAACGAAUCCAUAUAAUUAAAGUGAUGGUGCACGUGACUAUGUAUGAUUUUUAAAAUGUUCCAGGCCUUUGUUCCUGAAGUUAUAAAUGUUUCAUCGACUAAAUUUCACAAGUGCCAGCUAUGACUUCCUCCUCCAUGGUCCUUUCCUAUGGCUGUGUGACCAGUGUCCAAACAGUUAACCUCUCUGUGCCUCUCUUGCUUCAUCCAGCUUCCUGUCCUCACUAUUUUUCUGAGUCAAUGUGUGCAAUAAUCCUUUAGAAUCUCCACCGGUAUGGUUACUGAUAUUGUUAAUGAGAUGCAAGAACAAACAGGUUUUUCCACUCAUGGAAAAAGAGAACCGAAAGCAUCUCCACCCAAGAGAACCGAAAGCAUCCGUCCACACAAAAACUUGUACACAGAUGUUGAUAGAAGCACUAUUCAGAAUAGCUAAAGGGGACAGCCAACCCAAAUGUCCAGCAGCUGAUGAAUGGAUAUAUAAAAUGUGGUAUAUUCAUAUGAUGGAAUACUAUUUGGCCAUGAAAAAAUAACGAAGUGCUGAUACAUUGCCACAAUAUGGCUCAAUCUUGAAAAGAUUAUGCUAAAUAAAAGAAGCCAGUUACAAAAGGACAUAUAUAAUAUGAUUCCAUUUAUAGGAAAUGUCAAGAAUAGGCAAACGUAGAGAGGCAGACAGGCGGUCAGUGGUUGCUUAGGGCCAGGAGGCAUGGAGAGAUGGGGGACCGUGGCUAAAGGGGAUUGCAUUUUUUGGGUAAUAAUGAAAAUAUUCUAAAAUUGAUUGUGGUGAUGGUUGCACAACUCUGUGA